ACGUAGGAUGCAAGCGUUAUCCGGAUUUAUUGGGCGUAAAGUGUCGUGUAGGUGGUUUGCCGCAUCGUGCCUGAAAGCCCGAGGCUUAACCUCGGCGUUGGGUACGAGAUGGGUAAACUAGAGGGGGGUAGAGGAAAGGGGAACUCAUGGUGAAGCAGUGAAAUGCGUUGAUAUCAUGAGGAACACCAAAGGCGAAGGCACCUUUCUGGACCUCUCCUGACACUGAGACACGAAAGCUAGGGGAGCGAAGCAGAUUAGAGACCUGCGUAGUCCUAGCCCUAAACGCAUGUCUGCUAGUUGCCCCGCGCAAGUGGGGUGACGCAAGCUAACGCGUUAAGCAGACCGCCUGGGGAGUACGAUCGCAAGAUUA
rnacentral:rRNA from 1 species